GACGAACGCUGGCGGCGUGCUUAACACAUGCAAGUCGAACGGAAAGGCCCUGCUUUUGUGGGGUGCUCGAGUGGCGAACGGGUGAGUAACACGUGAGUAACCUGCCCUUGACUUUGGGAUAACUUCAGGAAACUGGGGCUAAUACCGGAUAGGAGCUCCUGCUGCAUGGUGGGGGUUGGAAAGUUUCGGCGGUUGGGGAUGGACUCGCGGCUUAUCAGUUUGUUGGUGGGGUAGUGGCUUACCAAGGCUUUGACGGGUAGCCGGCCUGAGAGGGUGACCGGCGUCAUUGGGACUGAGAUACGGCCCAGACUCCUACGGGAGGCAGCAGUGGGAAAUAUUGCACAAUGGGCGGAAGCCUGAUGCAGCAACGCCGCGUGCGGGAUGACGGCCUUCGGGUUGUAAACCGCUUUCGCCUGUGACGAAGCGUGAGUGACGGUAAUGGGUAAAGAAGCACCGGCUAACUACGUG
rnacentral:rRNA from 1 species